rnacentral:rRNA from 1 species
GUGGGGAAUAUUGCACAAUGGGCGCAAGCCUGAUGCAGCCAUGCCGCGUGUGUGAAGAAGGCCUUCGGGUUGUAAAGCACUUUCAGCGGGGAGGAAGGCGUUAAGGUUAAUAACCUUGGCGAUUGACGUUACCCGCAGAAGAAGCACCGGCUAACUCCGUGCCAGCAGCCGCGGUAAUACGGAGGGUGCAAGCGUUAAUCGGAAUGACUGGGCGUAAAGCGCACGCAGGCGGUCUGUCAAGUCGGAUGUGAAAUCCCCGGGCUCAACCUGGGAACUGCAUUCGAAACUGGCAGGCUAGAGUCUUGUAGAGGGGGGUAGAAUUCCAGGUGUAGCGGUGAAAUGCGUAGAGAUCUGGAGGAAUACCGGUGGCGAAGGCGGCCCCCUGGACAAAGACUGACGCUCAGGUGCGAAAGCGUGGGGAGCAAACAGGAUUAGAUACCCUUGUAGUCC